rnacentral:rRNA from 1 species
CUACGGAGGGUGCAAGCGUUACUCGGAAUCACGGGGCGUAAAGCGCGUGCAGGCGGCUUGAUAAGUUGGAUGUGAAAGCCUACGGCUCAACCGCAGAACUGCAUCCAAAACUGUCAGGCUAGAGUGUGGGAGAGGAAGAUGGAAUUAGUUGUGUAGGGGUAAAAUCCGUAGAGAUAACUAGGAAUACCAAAAGCGAAGGCAAUCUUCUGGAACACUACUGACGCUGAGGCGCGAAGGCGUGGGGAGCAAACAGGAUUAGAAACCCCAGUAGUCC